CUCACUUUGCUAAGAGCUUUGUACGAGUUGCUAAGCAACUUUGGACUCCCUAGCUGUCAAAUGAAGAUUUGUCAAAGUACACUGGACGGACCGUCCUGUAGUAAUUGAUGGACCUUGUGAAUAUCAAGAAAAAUAGAAUUAUAAAUGCACUUAUCGAUUAUAACAAGACCAGUGCCCAAAAUUAAGAGGAAAUCUUGUGCAGCUCAAAAAACUACAUUACAUCACGUUCGUGAGAAGGAAAUGUAUAGUUACGCUAGGUUUUGUGCAGAAAAUGCACAAUUGGCCCUAACAAGUGUUUGGUUGUGUGGAAACGUUUGUCAACACUUUUUCAUAUAAUUGUCAAAAACAAGGUUUGAAAAUGGUUGACCAAAAUCGAGUCAGCCAUCGACCUCUGCAUUACAUAGACUUUGGUCGCCACUGCGGCGCUGUCAGUCCCAAUGCAGGCUCUCUUGCUGAGUCUGUAGCAGGCCCUGAAACGUUUCACAGGCCAAAAUCACACAAACGAGCAGAAAUCACGCGAUUACUCAACAGCAACACAAAACAAAGAAAUUCGAAAAACUUCAAACUUGCGGAAACGAAUAAAACACAGAAUCGUUUUGCAUUGGUGCAGAAAAAAACGACCCGACACAUCAGGGAAGUGUGUAUAUCCUAUGCAAAAGCCGCGGCUCUAUCAUCCCUCUCCCGCAGCCCAACACGUGACGAUGCAAAACCGGAUUAACCGGCGUUGCAAAGACACACACACACACACACACCUGAAGAAGCUUGCCGCGAAGAAGAAAAAGGGGUGAAAAUGAAACCAGAACACCCAGAACAGCCAGUCGGUGGAAGGUUUGAGCGGCGGUGUGUUGUUCGGCGUUAGCCGGUUUACUUGGCGGUGCCGGUGGCCGAGAAGCCGGCACAAAGAAAACGUGCCCGGCCAGUCCGAACAUGGAGUACACACACACAGAGACAUUUUUGAAGUGCAAGUGUGCAACAACCGACAGGCAAAGAAGAAGUUGUAGGCAAGCUGGAAGCGUUUGAAGAUAGUUUGCAGUGCGAGAAAGAGAGAAAAAGACACAAGCAAAAGGGAUGAAACGCGUAGCGAAGCACAAGCAAAGGCAGCACACCUGAUGGCAAACGGUCGCUCGAAGAGGUCAAUGAAAGGUAGCGUUGUGAAGCACGUGGAGCGAACAAAUCCCUAACAGCAAAAAAACCCAGUACCGAAUGUCCGAAAAACGGCAGAAAGUGGGCGAAAGUUUUCACAGUGCAAUCUCGCUUGCUGGAGAAAUGUCUAAAAAGAGAGAGAGGGAGUUGGUGGUGGUGGUGGUGGUGGUGGUGGUGGUGGUGGUGGUAAACAAAACACUUCAAUUUAAACUUCACCAAGUGGUGGAAGGACGGCCGAGGGGGAGGCCAAAAUAGAAAACAUGUUUAUGCGCACGUUGUUUUCACUUGCCCGAACGGCUUAACACGCCUCGCGCGCGCCCGUUGGUAUGGGUGUGUUGGCUGCUGCACGCAAAA